CAUCCACACGGUGAUGUCAGGAAUUCUGCUGACAACAGAAAGAACAGACGAGACCCUAACCACUCAUCAGAUUGCCUGCAGGACAGCAGUGAUAUAGAAGUAGACAUGACAUCAGACGACGAUGACGACGAUGACGAUGAUGAUGAUGGGACAGCAUCCAAAAGCUCCAAAGAUCUUCAAGAUAUCCUGGAGGAUGUUUAAUUCUUCGCCCUACAUCUGAAUCUACAAUGUCUUCUCUGCAAGUCUUCGUAUUUAUUUAGCAGCCUUCGAGCAGAUAGCUUGCGUAAGUGAUUUGUUUUUCGUUGAAAUCCUAACGAGCUUAGAAUAGUUUUUAUAUCACGAUACCGCUUUAUUAUAAAGGGCUCCUCGAAUGAAACGAAUGGAUCUCGAUAACAUUUAUAGCACGUAACCAUAAUAUCUUAUUAACGGUAACGUUGACUGACGUUUAAUUUCCUUGUAACAUGUGUUUAGUGUGCUGUGCUUAUUUUACCUUGUGCAAAUCAAAGUGCACUUUUAUCUUAUUUGCACAAAUGACGCUUUGGCCUAUAUCCUUAACAGCUGGAAGAUGAAUAGCAUUUAAAUAUAUAUGAUUUAAUUUAACAGAUGUAUGGAAUAAUAUUUUGUCUGAUCGUUGGGGUUUGUAUUUGUAAUACUAUUUAAUAAAGACUGAAUAAUAAUCAUUUUAUAGUAAAAG